AAUUUCAGGUUGCACGUUAUACAGUUAGUCUAAGAGUGGUUAACAUCAUUGAAGAGAAUUUAAGCUUUUCAGCUGGGAUAUACAAUGUUUCAGUUAAAGAGGAUGCAACUCCAUCUUCAGUUAUCUUACGUGAUAUAGAAGUGAGACUUGGAGAUCCUGGAAACAAUGGAUUGAAUCUUAUUCAGUUUAAAGUACAGAGUUCUUUUGACAAAUACUUUAUUCUGCAAGUAGAUCAAUCUCGUACACCAGCUACUGCUAAAGUAUAUAAACUCCAGCUACAACACCAGCUGAAUUAUACCGAGAAAACCCAAUACAAUUUUACUGCAGUAGCUUCUUUGGAAGGUUAUCCAGAUAAAAAUGCUACAGCUCACUUCAUAGUAAAUGUAGUAGAUGUAGAUGACCAAAACCCAAAGUUUACA